ensembl:lncRNA
GCCCCCUACAGUACAAUUCGGCUAGGUAUGCAUCUGUGCUAAAAUAUCAAGGUGAAAGUCAUCAUAGUGUAGCGGUUCUUCUUCUGCGUUGUGUAACUUUUUGAUUCCGUUUUUUGAACCACAAAUGAUGGGCUGACACCCAAGAGAUUUUCUGUGCAAAGUGUAUUCUGUACAAAAAGCAAGGUCGCGUCAGAACAUCGCGUCACACAUCGCGUCUUUCUGCACCUCUCUCUACAAUAUACAGUAUUAAAAGAACAUAAAAAAAAUAUUCACAAAAUAACACACAUGCAAAAUAUUCCUAAUAUGUACAUAAAUUAAAAUGAAAGAAAUAACUUUUUACACACAAACCCCACGCACCUCUCACAGCUCACGCCAUGUGUCCAAGAGACCUGAACCAGUCUCAAAAACAAAAUAAAAGACACAAGAAAAAAGAAAUAUACUUAUAAAUCUAGUGUAACCAUUUAACUCCGGCACAAUAGCUUGCGUAGUAUAGACCCAACUCCCAACCCAACUUGUGAAUAGAUUAACGGCGAUAUUUUUUUUAUCGCCCAAUAAGAGCACGCUAACGCCGAUAACGGCCCACCACUAAUCUUUAUUGUGUUUUAAUCCUAUUAGUAUUGCUGAAAAUGAAAUGUACGCAUGCGUGCAGAAGGAAAUGAUCAAUCUCAGUGACGUAAUGAUGCAGAAGAUCAGGCAGGUGACUACACUGGUCCUCUCUUCCAGGGGAACUGAAUAUUCAUGAGACACUGCAUCUUCAACGUCUUGUUGAGCUCCAGUUGAGCUGGUGAAGAUGACAUCAUCAUCAUCAACUUCAGAGCCUUGUGCAGGAUCCAAAUUUGUUCUUGGAAGACGCUGACGCUUUCUCUUUGGUUCAGCCCAUGUUGAUUCUGAGGAAGAUAUGAGAUGAUAGGAACUGCAAAACCAGUUUGGCUUCCUGUGGGAAUCUCCAGAUGGAACUGCUGGAUCUCAGUAAGCUCUCCUUUUUUCUGUGGUUGGAUGGGGACAUGGUGUCUCUGGAAGAGUGAUGGUGGAGAGAUCCCAAACUCCUCCAGAGCUGACAGGGUCAGCCUCCUGCUGUGUGACGUCCGGUGGGUUCAAAUUCAACAUGGUAUGAUAUGCAGUGAAAUGCUUUAGCAACUGUUGGCAAAUGUUGCAAGUAUACAAUGAACCAAUAUGCAAAUAUUGCAAACAUAACCAAAUAUUACACUUUUAUGUCUUUAAAUUAAAACAAGGUGUACAAAUGAGUGAAGUCAAAGUGAAAAGUAAAAAAAAAAAAAGAAAUAAUAAUUUGUGCACGAGUAAGAGUUCUCACGAUCUUCGGCUGCAAGAAAACAACGUGGCUCUGAUGAUCUUAUGGUAACUUUAAAAAGCAGACACAUGCAUACAUGAGACAUAUACUGUAUACUAACACUGCUAAGUAACACACCUGAAAUUGGCCUGAAACCAUGUGAAGCUGAAGUACUAUUGAAAGUGAAGUGAUUGUCAUUGUGAUACACUGCAGCACAGCACACGGUGCACACAAUGAAAUGUGUCUUCUGGUUUUAACCAUCACCCUUGGGCAACCAUGACAGGCACCCGUGGAGCUUUGCUCAGUGGCACCUAGGUGGACCAGGAUUUGAACCAGCAACCCUUUGAUUACAGGGCCACUUUCUUAACCGCUAGGCGACCACUGUCCCCAAUAUUGCACAGGGGUCAUUGUCUCUGGGAAGGGGUGGGUGACAGACAUUUACAUUUUACAUUUACAGCAUUUAUCAGACGCCCUUAUCCAGAGCGACUUACAAUCAGUAGUUGCAGGGACUGUCCCCCUGGAGCAACUUAGGGUUAAGUAUCUUGCUCAGGGACACAAUGGGAUUUGACAACAUGACCUGGAGGGACGUGAUUGGGAGGAACGGCCUGCCAGAUCUGAACUUGAGUGGUGUUUCGUUAUUGGACUUCUGUGCAAGCCACAGUUUGGCCAUAGCGUACACUAUGUUCGAACAUAAGAAUGCUCAUCGGUACACUUGGUACCAGGGUAUCCAUAGGUUGCAGGUAGUGCUGCACGAUUAAUCUAAUCGCAAUUGUAAUCGCGAUGUCAGUCUAUGCAAUUACAUGAACGCAAAAAGCUGCGAUUUUAAUUAUUAGUACAUAGAUUGAACAUAUCACUCAUUCUCUCAAAGUUUGCGAGCUGACUGAAGUCUCACUUCAGUUGAAUGUGACGCAUUCGGUUACAUGACUUUCGAUUCAGUUCAAUGGAGACCUCAGAUUCGUGACUCACAUAGACAUAUGGGUACACGUGCAUCAACGUCGCCGCCAUAUUGCGAUAGGCUCUGCUGUGGAAUGAAGCAUAUACAUGUCUAUGGAGAGAAAUGCAUAAAAAUGCCUCACUCUUGUGCUGCUUGGGGCUGUACAAACCGCUGUACGCUCCAAACCAGAUCCUGGGGGAUUACAUUUCAUAGGUAAGGCUGGACAAUUGUUUUGAAUAUAUUUGGCCAUUAUAAAAUCCCGUUUUAUAAGUCUUAACCUUAGCUAAGAUAGGCUAAGCUAGCGAAGCUAUGCAUUCCUGUGUUCAAGUCAGCCUCCAAACAACGUUUUGGCUAAACGUAGGCAUUAACUAUUUAGACUGUUAUUAGCUGUUUAGUUAACUUUUCUCAAACUUUGAAGGUUUCCUAAAGAAAUUCGCCUCAAUUUACAAAUCUUAACCUUAGCUAAGCUAGUGAAGCUAUGCAUCCCUGUGUUCAAGUCAGCCUCCAAACAACGUUUUGGUUAAACGUAAGAACUAUAAUACAGGAUUUUAUAAUGGCCAAAUAUAAUCAAAACAGUUGUUAAGCCUUACCAGGGUUUGUCGUUCGACAGUAAUGUAAAAGAGUUUUUUGUGAUUUAUUUAAUUUAGUAGAAUAUUGUAUUUUGAAAGCACUGGGCAUUUCAAGUUGUUAUAAGUAGUUUGUAUGUUUCACUUUGAAAUUAAACAUUUCACUAUUAGUCAUUUGUAUGCGACUUUUCAUUGAUAUACAAGCAAGUGUCCUUUAUCAUAUCACAAUCGUAUAGCGCAAUAUUGAUCUCAAUAAUUGCAAUAUGUCUUUUUCCCCAAAUCGUCCAGCCCUAGUUGCAGGUUGAUGAUUAACUUUGUAGUCGUAUCAUCUGACCUGCGGCCAAAUGUUUUGGGCACUUGGGUGAAGAGAGGAGCGGAGCUGUCAACUAAUCACCACCUGGUGGUGAGUUGGAUCAGGUGACAGGAAAAGAUGCCACGUAGCCUGGCAGACCCAAACCUGGCACAAGAACCUGUCAAGAUGGUCUUCCAUUCCCACCUCCGGCAGAGCUUUGACGGCAUCCCGAGCGCAGUGGGGGAUUGAUUCUGAAUGGACCUUGUUCUGCUAUUCAAUUGUUGAGGUGGUUAUUUCUAGCUUUGGUUGCAAGGUGGCCGGUGCCAGUCAUGGCAGUAACCCCCUUAACCACUGGUGGACACCAGAGGUUAGGGGAGUUGUCAGACUGAGGAAGGAGGCCUACAGGGCAUGGUCUCCAGAAGCAGCAGACAGGUACUGGGCGGCCAACCGGGGUGCAGCAGUAGCAGAUGUUGAGGCAAAAUCUCAGGUGUGGAAGGAGUUGGGUGAAGCCAUGGAGAAAGACUACCGAUCAGCUCCAAAGAGGUUCUGGCAAACCAUCUGAUGCCUCAGGAGAGGAAGACUGUUGGGAAGCUGCUGACGUCGGCUGGGGUCAGGCGGUGAAAGGAGCUCCUUAAUCCAACUAACGUGCAUUGCGAGGAGGAACUAGAGCUGGGAUACCUGGGUAUGGACUGUCCAAUCUCAGGGGCAGAAGUUGCUGAGAUAGUCAAACAGCUACACAGUGGCGGAUCUGUCCUGGGUAACUCAUGGCUAUGGAUGUUCAUAGAGCUGUCAUGGUUGACACGUCUCUGCAACAUUGCGUAGACAUUGGGGGCAGUUCUGGUGGAGUGGCAGACUGGGGUGGUGGUCCCCGUUUUUAAGAAGGGGGACCAGAGGGUGUGUUCCAACUAUAGGUGGUCCUUAAUGGUCUGUGACAGGUUGGCUUUGCCUGUAGAAUAAGCCUCUUUGUCUUUGGACUGGAAGACAGAGUCCCUGGUUUCACCAGGAUGCACAGCUUAGCAGAGAACCAGGUUUGGUGGGUUGGACAGAUGAUGACAGUCUUGGACACUGUGACAUCCUCAACACAAUUGCUGAUGUAGCUGUUGACUGAGGUCAUAGGUGGCUGCAUCUCUAAACAUCUCCCAGUCUGUGCAGUCAAAACAGUCCUGGAGGGCAGUGACCUAUUUGAUGGCUUGUGUGAACUGCUUGAGGUGCCAAGUGAGCAAGGGGUGUGUAGGCUGGGGUGAGAUGUGGGGCAGUGGUGGGCUAGCGGGGGCAGUGGUGGCCUAGCGGUUAAAGAAGCGGCCCCGUAAUCAGAAGGUUGCCAGUUUGAAUGCCGAUCCGCCAAGGCGCCACUGAGGUGCCAAGUGAGCAAAGCACCGUCCCCACACACUGCUCCCCGGGUGCCGUAAACAUGAUGAUCGAGAAGCCGUCUGGGUAGACUGUAAGAUGUUACCGAUUUUAGAGUUCACUGAGUGCACCACUAGGUUUAGCAUUAUUGCUAGCACUGGGCUGGCCUUGUUCUCAAAUGGCUGGCAGUUUCAAUGAAUACUGAAUUUGGUAAAGUCAUUCUGCACACAUCCAUUGUUCUACAAUAACAUCACAGGGCAUUGUCUAUAAGUUGAGUUUUCCCUUCCUAUAUAAAGACAGUUUGACCUAUAGUACAGGCCAAAAGUUUUUGGACACACCUUCUCAUUCAAUAUGUUUUCUUUAUUUUCAUGACCAUUCUCACUGAAGGCAUCAAAACUAUGAAUGAACACAUGUGGAGUUGUGUACUUAACAAAAAAAGGUAAAAUAAGUGAAAACAUGUUUUAUAUUCUAGUUUCUUUGCUCUGAUUACUGCUUUACACACUCUUGCCAUUUUCUCGAUGAGCUUCAAGAGGUCGUCACCUGAAAUGGUUCUCCAACAGUCUUGAAGGAGUUCCCAGAGGUGUUUAGCACGUAUUGGCCCCUUUACCUUCACUCUGCAGUCCAGCUCACCCCAAACCAUCUGGAUUGGGUUCAGGUCCGGUGACUGUGGUCUCCACUUUUUGUUGAGUACAUAACUCCACAUGUGUUCAUUCAUAGUUUUGAUGCCUUCAGUGAGGAUCUACAAAUGUAAAUGGUCCUGAAAAUAAAGAAAAACGCAUUGAAUGAGAAAUACUGAUU